UUUUUAACACUGUUAGAAUAGGAAUAGGAAUAGGUGUAGGAUUUGUAUAUAGUAUCCUACAUGGAAAAGGAUUAGGAUGUAGUGUCUAUAAAUAGGGCUCAAUGUAAUAGUGUAGAUACACAAUUCAAUAAUAUAACCAAACCCCUAAAAUUUCCGACCGCCGGAACCCUAAUCCGGCGCCGUCAGUUUUUUUUUCUUCUGGCAGAUUUGGGUUUUCCGGCCACCUUUUCAAAAAAAAAAAAAAAAAAAAGUCGCCCCAGUAAGGUUGCACAACAAUUCUGACCCCAACCAUAUAAUUUUCUUUAAGAUCCGGUCACUUUUUGUUUUUCCGGCGAGUUCGAGCAGUCUCCGGCCACUUUUUUUUACCAGUCAAGUAUCCCAGCAAUUCCGCAUUAACCCUAAUAAUUUUUUCCUGAUUCUGAUCAUUUUAGUAUUUUCCGGCAACUUUUCCAGUGACUGUUUUGCUGGCAGCUUCUAGAUCUGUCUUAUUAGCACAAUCAGCUAAGUUUCGUCCUUUUUGAAAUUUUGAGCCAUGUCUCUCAGAUAUGAUAUGUUUGGCUCCAAAAACACGGGAAUCGGAUCUUCAAGCCCUAUGAUUACUUCCGAACCGUUAAUGGGAAGUUCAAACUAUUUAGCUUGGGCUUCUUCGGUUGACUUGUGGUGCAAGGGUUAAGGUGUUCAAGAUCACUUAACUCAAAAGGCUAUUGUGGUUGAUGAAAAGGCAAAGGCUUGUAAGGUAGAUGAAAAGGCCAAAGCACAGUGGGAGAAGGUUGAUGCUCAAAUAUGUAGUCUCUUGUGGCGAUCUAUUGAUCCCAAGUUGAUGCCCUUGUUUCGUUGCUUCCAGACAUGUUAUUCAGUUUGGGAAAAGGCUAACGCUUUAUACACUAAUGACAUAUCUCGAUUUUAUGAUGUGAUAUCUCGGAUGAUCAACUUAAAGAAACAAGAAUCAGAUAUGUCUACUUACUUGGGACAGGUAUAGGCAGUCAUGGAGGAAUUUGAGCAGUUGAUGCUAGUCACUACGAACGUUGAAAAAAACAGGAGCAAAGACAGAUGUUGUUUCUAGUUUUUACACUUACAUUACUUCCUAUUGACCUUGAUUCAGUGUGUGAUCAAAUUUUGGCUAGUCUUACGGUUCCUAUAAUUGAUGAACUAUUCUCUCGUUUGCUUCGUCUUGCUGCGCCUCCUAAUCACAUUGUGGUUUCAUUACCAAUCGUUGACUCUACUAUUCUUGCAUCUCAAACCAUAGAGAAUCGAACAUCUCAGUCUAUGGAUAAUCGAUGAGGAGGAGAUCGCUUUGGAAAAUCUCGAACUAAGUGUAGUUAUUGUCAUAAGUUUGGACACACUCGCGAUGUAUGCUGUGCUCUACAUGGUCCACUACCCAAUGAUGUUCAGUGUAGUUAUUGUCAUAAGUCUGGACACACUCGUGACGUAUGUCGUGCUCUGCACGGUCAACCACCCAACAAUGCUCAUGUUGCUCAGACUGACACUACUGGAAAUCCGAGGCUUUUAUCAGAAGUUGAUAUAAUGAGUACCUUCAGUAUCGAGCAAUCUAGUAUCCCUCCAUCGUGGGUCGUUGACUCAGGCGCUUCGGAUCAUAUUUCUGGUAACAAAUCACUUUUGUCAAAUAUUAUUUAUUCACAGUCUCUUCCUCCUGUUACUUUAGCCAAUGGGAUCUAAACAAAACCAAAAGGGGUUGGACAAGCUAAUCCUCUAUCUUCUGUCACUCUAAACUCUGUUCUUUAUGUCCGUGGUUGUCCUUUUAAUCUUGCAUCUGUCAGUCGUUUGACACUCAUAAUUAGAUACAUUUGUAACAAGCUCGGUACAUAUGGCUUGUAUGCACCAGCUUGAGGGGAGUGUUAGAAUAGGAAUAGGAAUAGGAUUUGUAUAUAGUAUCCUACAUGGAAAAGGAUUAAGAUGUAGUGUCUAUAAAUAGGGCUCAAUGUAAUAAUGUAGAUACACAAUUCAAUAAUAUAAUUUUUCUCCAUAAUUUCUCACAAACACAA